AAAGGAAAACAAAGAAUCGAAAAGGACAAAAGUCCCUUGGCCAGCGCGCAGCACAAGGGCGGGCGGGAUCGACGGAGGAGGGGUCCGUGGGCGGCAAUGUCGGCUUUUCCUCGUCGCCGUCGCGCUACCAUUAUCGGCGGUCUCCUCUUAUGCGAGAUCACCCAACCAAGAGCACAUUUGGCUCUUUCUUUUCCGCCAACCGUUGUUUGCCCAUCGCCCAGACGCACAAACAACAAUGCCUAGGGUUUGUCGGCCUUUCGGUUGCGUGCGUGCAACCGAGCGCCAGAGAUGAUGCCGCGCUGGGGUUCGACGGCGACGUCGCUAAAGGUGAGGUUGGUGUAGUAGACCGAACGCUCGGCAUCGCGCGCGUGCGGCCCGCGCACGAUCUCGCACCACCACGAGGCGGCGUGCGCGCGGUUGACACUCUGCAGGAGCACCCGGUGGUCGCUGUCGUGGCAUUCGGGCGCCAUGUCGUGCGGGGACGUGUGCUCCCCCGUCGACAGUGGGGAUGACGGUGAAGAAAAAAAAGUGCGUAAUGUCGAUGAUGAUGAUGUUGAUGAUGACAAUGACGACCCAACGGCAGGCGAUACAAUGAUAAAGGGGUCCCACCAGAGACCGCGCGAUUCGCACGACAGCACCCGACUGUCGAGGUCGAUGACGCACCACGCCGCACUCGGUGACGCUGUCGGUGGUGCGCGCGUUGGUGCACUGGAGCGCUCGAUGGGCGCGCAUGUGGGCGCGCACGCGUCGUCGGCGUAAAGCGUACCGCGCUCGAUGGCUAUGGUGCGUGGCACGGCCACCAUAGGUUGCCACAGGGCCUCGAGUUCGUCGAGCAUAGUCGUGCCGGACGGCAUCGGCGCCACCCUCGCGCCGACGCCAAUGGCCUGUGCUGCGCGCUCCAUCGCCGCUGCGAUGGCCUUCAUCCCGACGCACACACGCAGUAGAGCAAAACCUUUCUUUUUUCCGAAACACAAGUGCGCGUUUUUUGACAGUCGAAAAAGAGGAAGGGAUGUUUUCCGCCGUUUGAAUGCGCCCUUUUGCCCGUGUUCCAGUCGCCGCCGGCGCAGACAGCGGCAGCGUAUCGAAAGGGAUAAAAGAGAGAGAGAGAUAAAAAAUCUGGAAGCACCGAGGCACGGCGUGAGCCUACGCGCUGGGUCGCUCUUGACCUAAAAGGGGAGCGCCACGCCGGCGACGCGAAACAAAAGGAGACCAUCCGCGUAUGCGCAGGCACAC
rnacentral:lncRNA from 1 species